AAUAAAAUAUACUGUAUAACAUGACAAAUUAUAACUUUAUUUUAAUUUGAUUUGAAUACAUAUAUUGCACUUAUUGGUUAGCAUGCACUCUUCAAUUUUUUAUAACAUAAAAUGCACCGAAACCUUAUUAUCCCGAUAUUUAAUGUAUGAACAUUUUUACAAACGUUUGUUUUUAUUUGACAAUGCAGAAAUUUCAAGCUCUUCCAAAAAAGCAAUGUGGGAGGAAGUAGAAAUUGUCUUUAACUCAACUAGCGUGGGACCAAGGAGGACUUUAGCCGAGCUUGAAAAGAAAUGGGAGAAUCUUACCGCCAAACAUAGGGUCCUUUACAAUGAUCACCAGCGUUUGUUAUCUAUGACUGGAAGUGCCCCUUUUCAGUCAAAGUAUAAAAAUCAUCACAGAAGCUGUGAUGUGUGUCAUUGGAAAAGACACCGUAACGGUGAUGGGCACUGCUCCAUUAAACCUGGACAGCACCUAUUUGCAGCUGACAGGGUCAAGUUUAAUGAUCAAUUCAUUAACACUUUAUAUGCAAUAGCUUAACUGAUUUCACACUCUUUCAAACAGAUUACCAUUGAAAAAUUCAUUUCUCAACACACACCUACACUCACAAACACCCGGCCAAACAUGUUAUUAUAUAACUACAUCAUAAGUACAUUUUUUUUGGCAGAAAU